rnacentral:rRNA from 1 species
CCUACGGGAGGCAGCAGUGGGGAAUAUUGCACAAUGGGGGAAACCCUGAUGCAGCGACGCCGCGUGAGUGAAGAAGUAUUUCGGUACGUAAAGCUCUAUCAGCAGGGAAGAAAAUGACGGUACCUGCCUAAGAAUCCCCGGCUACCUACGUCCCAGCCGCCGCGGUAAUACGUAGGGGGCAAGCGUGAUCCGGAUUUACUGGGUGUGAAGGGAGCGUAGACGGCAGCGGAAGUCUGAAGUGAAAUCCCAUGGCUUAACCAUGGAACUGCUUUGGAGACUGUGCAGCUGGAGUGCAGGAGAGGUAAGCAGAAUUCCUAGUGUAGCGGUGAAAUGCGUAGAUAUUAGGAGGAGCACCAGUGGCGAGGGCGGCUUACUGGACUGUAACAGACGUUGAGGCUCGAAAGCGUGGGGAGCAAACAGGAGUAGAUACCCUUGUAGUC